CGCAAGGUUAAAACUCAAAGAAAUUGACGGGGACCCGCACAAGCGGUGGAGCAUGUGGUUUAAUUCGAGGCAACGCGAAGAACCUUACCAGGCCUUGACAUGUCCAGUUUGGAUCCCAGAGAUGGAUUCCUUCACCUCGGGUGGCUGGAACACAGGUGCUGCAUGGCUGUCGUCAGCUCGUGUCGUGAGAUGUUGGGUUAAGUCCCGCAACGAGCGCAACCCUCGUCCUUAGUUGCCAUCAGGUAAUGCUGGGAACUCUAAGGAAACUGCCCGUGAUAAGCGGGAGGAAGGUGGGGACGACGUCAAGUCAUCAUGGCCCUUACGGCCUGGGCUACACACGUGCUACAAUGGCAUCGACAAAGGGCAGCGAACUUGCAAAAGUGAGCGAAUCCCUAAACGAUGUCUCAGUUCGGAUUGUCCUCUGCAACUCGAGGGCAUGAAGCUGGAAUCGCUAGUAAUCGUGGAUCAGCAUGCCACGGUGAAUACGUUCCCGGGUCUUGUACACACCGCCCGUCACACCAUGGGAGUUGUUUCUGCCUUAAGCAGGUGAGCCAAUCUGGCAGCCUACCACGGCAGGGAUGAUGACUGGGGUGAAGUCGUAACAAGGUAACCGUA
rnacentral:rRNA from 1 species